rnacentral:rRNA from 1 species
GAUGAACGCUGGCGGCGUGCCUAAUACAUGCAAGUCGAGCGAACGGACGAGAAGCUUGCUUCUCUGAUGUUAGCGGCGGACGGGUGAGUAACACGUGGAUAACCUACCUAUAAGACUGGGAUAACUUCGGGAAACCGGAGCUAAUACCGGAUAAGAUUUUGAACCGCAUGGUUCAAAAGUGAACGACGGUCUUGCUGUCACUUAUAGAUGGAUCCGCGCUGCAUUAGCUAGUUGGUAAGGUAACGGCUUACCAAGGCAACGAUGCAUAGCCGACCUGAGAGGGUGAUCAGCCACACUGGAACUGAGACACGGUCCAGACUCCUACGGGAGGCAGCAGUAGGGAAUAUUCCGCAAUGGGCGAAGGCCUGAUGGAGCAACGCCGCGUGAGUGAUGAAGGUCUUCGGAUCGUAAAGCUCUGUUAUUAGGGAGGAACAUAUGUGUAAGUAACUGUGCACAUCUUGACGGUACCUAAUCAGAAAGCCACGGCUAACUACGUG